GUAACGCGUAGGUAACCUGCCUGGUAGCGGGGGAUAACUAUUGGAAACGAUAGCUAAUACCGCAUAAAAUGGAUUAUCGCAUGAUAAUCAAUUGAAAGGUGCAAAUGCAUCACUACCAGAUGGACCUGCGUUGUAUUAGCUAGUUGGUGGGGUAACGGCUCACCAAGGCGACGAUACAUAGCCGACCUGAGAGGGUGAUCGGCCACACUGGGACUGAGACACGGCCCAGACUCCUACGGGAGGCAGCAGUAGGGAAUCUUCGGCAAUGGACGGAAGUCUGACCGAGCAACGCCGCGUGAGUGAAGAAGGUUUUCGGAUCGUAAAGCUCUGUUGUAAGAGAAGAACGAGUGUGAGAGUGGAAAGUUCACACUGUGACGGUAUCUUACCAGAAAGGGACGGCUAACUACGUGCCAGCAGCCGCGGUAAUACGUAGGUCCCGAGCGUUGUCCGGAUUUAUUGGGCGUAAAGCGAGCGCAGGCGGUUAGAUAAGUUUGAAGUUAAAGGCUGUGGCUUAACCAUAGUACGCUUUGGAAACUGUUUAACUUGA
rnacentral:rRNA from 1 species